ensembl:ncRNA C48A7.10 ncRNA
CUCCGUUCACUUUUUCUCUUCGAUUUUUGUUGGUUGCGCGAAAACUCGAAAACAAAAGCAAAGAGAGUGCAGAUGUGGAGUACCACGACCACUUGAGCCGAACCACCACCCAUCACAAAUCUGCCCCCGGAAAUCAGAAAUGAAAUCAGA